rnacentral:antisense_RNA from 1 species
CUGGCAGAGGUGGUUGGGGCUAUGUGCCUGGAGUGAAGAUUCUGCCCAUUGGUCAAGAGACCUCCCUCUCAGAUGCUGGCUCUGCCCCUGCCUUUGGGGGUCGACCCUUGUACUCGCAGGACCUUAGGUGACUCUAUUCUACUUCUCUGAUCAUCCAGGAAGCCAACCUGCCUGAGGACGAGUCAUACUCUGUCCUCCCACCCCAGGCCAGAGAGUGGUAUCUGUCUGUCCACAAGUUAUGGACGUCUGGAAUCAGGUGGCUCACAGUCAUUCCAGUAUUUCCUGGAUAGGACCGAACAGUCCGAUUCUUGCACAUCUAAGACUAAGUAAUAUACAGUUGUAUUUUCCUGAGGAAUGCCAAAAGCAACAUGAGCUGGCCAUAAAGACAUUCUCUGACCUACUCUGUUUGAUAGUGGGUCCUCAGAUCCGCAUUCCAAAGGGAUCCUGUCCCAUACUUGGGAGCAAGAAAUGCCACACAGAGAGGCCAUGAAGAACUCAAACAGAGAGGCCUUGCUGGGUCCUUCUUUCAGUCUAUGACUCUUAGAUUACAGCCUUUUGUCCCAUCACACUUCUGCAUUCUGCACAGCCUUUGUGAAUUCUAAGUAUGCAAGUGGCCAGUUUCUUUGGAUAUCUGAGUCUUCAUUUAUGAAGACUCCAGUGUCAGGACCAUAUUGCGACUGAAACAAGGCAUAACAGGUCUUUGACUGGCUAUCCUGUGGGUGUGGACUCAGGCUAGCCUGCGCAAAGUGGUGAGCAAGGUGGUUGGGAAAAUCAAAGGAGGGGGUAAGGUAGUGGCAGGUAACUAUCGAUAAUCUGCUCUUCUUCACAGAAAGACAGGCAAUUAGAUUGAAAAAUACCUGUGAUUCAAAGAAGUCACAAGUCACAGAGACAAACUUUUCCCAGUGUGUUCGAGUCAGAGAACCUUUGCAAAGACCAACAGGCUAAAAGAGAAAAUACAAUGUCAUGACACAGCUAAAAUAUGUUU